GAUUCGAACCACCCCUUUAAGGAAACGCUUUGAACUCACCUUCUCAGUAGGAUACUAGACCAUGGAGUGGACAGGUGUCGGAUGUACAUACAGUGUAGGACAAAAUAAUAAGAGGCUUUACAUACGAUGAGCCAUUCAGAAAAGAUAUUGAUCAACUCCAAAAUUGAAAAAUAAAGAAAGGACGAAUAUAAAUGCUUCUGCGGUAAUGCGAAAUUGAAAUAAAUUAAGAGCGUUAAUGAGAUUAAUGAUAAUGUAUUAACAAAGCAAAUUGAAAGGAAAGAAUUAAUUAAAGCUCGGCCAUAAAUAAAAGUCGAAAUGAAAGUCAUAGAAGAUUUGAACGUAUUUAUAAAAAGUAACAGCAGAUUCAACGAUAUAAAAUUUCAUAUCUGCUCGCAAAAGAAUUUUUCAAGAUUUUGACUUUUAAAGGGAAAUAAUUGGUUUUCAUAUCUCGUUUAAAAUAAUAGUGGGUUAUUUUCUAGCUUUUAUUUCUAAGGUAUAAGAAAAGGAAUAUCAGAAACCUGGAAAGUGUAGUAUUUCUAGCAUCAAAUAAUUUUUUCUUAUUUCAUCAAUCUUGAAAGAAAUAGAGACACGAGAACAAAGAAACUUUGAAUAGCAACCUCGUCAUUAAUAAAGGAACGAGAUUAUACACUGUCGGCGAAUAGCAUGAAAUGUCUUGGAUUAAUGAAAGAAAAUUUGAAUAUAUUUCAGAAAUACAACUGUAUUAGAAUGAUUCAUUAAAUGCUUAUAAGUACAAUAAGCUGAAAAACAAUCGUAAGAGUUAACCUUUUUACCCUCGAAAUCGAUAUUGUGUAUACGCAAUUGUAUUUGUAUAUGCUACUAAUUAACUAAAGGGGAAAUGUAAACUGUGUCCGAUAAAACUCAUUUUAAAAUAUAAUACAUUACGUCUCUCUCACGAAGCCAUUCGAAAAAUUUGUUUCUAUUAUGAAUAUCACACAAGAAAUCAUUUUUCUCAGAGAGUUAAAAGAAUCGACCUUGAAAGGAUUAAAUAGUAAUGGCAUAAUAAAAAUUCACGUAAUAAUGCUUCAAAAUAUAAUUAAAUUUCACUUUAUUUAAAAUAACACCUAAGUUUUAAAACAAUAAUAAAGCAUUCAUUUCUUUAGAUUUUGAAAAAUUUAAUAUUUUGCUUGUAUUGGAAAAGGUGAAUAGAAAAUAAGAAGGAUAGAAAAGGCGUAUAUAUGAGAAAAAUAGAAGGCUAUUGAAAGAAAACAUAAAAGGAAUGGGACGUAAAAAUUUGGAGUCAUGUUGCAGUCAAAGUUCUAUGUGCCAUUGCAUAUCAACAUUUAUUUGCCAUUCGUACCAUUCUAUGAGUAUAAAUAUAUUUAUGGUUUGAAUAAAGUCAUCUAUUGCAUUCAA